AUACGGAGGGUGCGAGCGUUAAUCGGAAUUACUGGGCGUAAAGCGUACGUAGGCGGUUGGUUAAGUUAGAUGUGAAAGCCGCGGGCUUAACCUGGGAACUGCAUUUAAAACUGGCGAACUAGAGUUGAGUAGAGGGGAGUGGAAUUUCAGGUGUAGCGGUGAAAUGCGUAGAGAUCUGAAGGAACACCAGUGGCGAAGGCGACUCCCUGGACUCGAACUGACGCUGAGGUACGAAAGCGUGGGUAGCAAACGGGAUUAGAAACCCCGUAGUCC
rnacentral:rRNA from 1 species